rnacentral:rRNA from 1 species
GACGAACGCUGGCGGCGUGCCUAAUACAUGCAAGUCGAACGAGAAUUUCUUACACCGAGUGCUUGCACUCACCGUAAGAAAUUCGAGUGGCGGACGGGUGAGUAACACGUGGGCAACCUGCCCAAAAGAAGGGGAUAACAUUUGGAAACAAAUGCUAAUACCGUAUAACCAUGAUGACCGCAUGGUCAUUAUGUAAAAGGUGGUUUUGCUAUCGCUUUUGGGUGGACCCGCGGCGUAUUAACUAGUUGGUAGGGUAACGGCCUACCAAGGUGAUGAUACGUAGCCGAGUUGAGAGACUGAUCGGCCACAUUGGGACUGAGGCACGGCCCAAACUCCUACGGGAGGCAGCAGUAGGGAAUCUUCCACAAUGGACGAAAGUCUGAUGGAGCAACGCCGCGUGAGUGAAGAAGGGUUUCGGCUCGUAAAGCUCUGUUGGUAGUGAAGAAAGAUAGAGGUAGUAACUGG